AGAAAUACUUUGUAGACAUUCAAUGAUUACUGAGAAAGUGGGUUUACUCGUGGGUGGGAAGGCAGGAGAGUUGCAUCGAUCUCCCUUUGUUUCAGGAGGACUAGGAGAAUUGCAAGCUGUCAGGCCAGACCUAGUUGUCUUCUAGUAAACAAGUUUAAGUCUAGCAACUUAGAAAAUGGCCUGUGAAGCUGGGACCUGUUGUACCAAGACUAAGAUUUGGGGUGAUUUCCCAGGUUCACUAUACCAAGCUCUCUCCCUCCAAAGUAGCAAAGCCUUCCUGUCCCGGCCAGCGCUUGCCGCACAUGGUUCUGGGACCUGAAGGUCACCGCCUGCUGCUCCAGGCCUCCCCAGGCAGGGCGUUGAACAUUAACCGGCCCGAGCUAUAGACUAAGGUAAAACGUUACAUAUAAAAUGAAUCAUCUAUCUGAUCCUGGGAGAAACGACCUAUAGCCAGGCUGCGUCUCUGCUGCUGGCCCAGUGCCACAGUUGGGCGGCCGCCGCUGCCCGCGGACCCCUUCUCUGGGGACCGGUGGGGGCUGGAGAGAUGGGGCUGCUGAGCC
rnacentral:lncRNA from 1 species